rnacentral:lncRNA from 13 species
CCAAAAUGGUGAUGGAUGCUAGCAGGUGAUGCACAGGACUGAUCUCUCUUCUCCCUUUAUUCUCUAGGAUCCAAGUAAAUUCUAGUGGGCAAGAGGAAGAGAGACUACAAUAUCAUUUUCUUACUGCUGGAGGCAGCAGAUUAAGGACCCCUGCCUGCAAUGUGCCAAAUGCACUAUGUGACUCCCAAGACCCUGCACAUCCAGGAGGACAGUUCAGGCUUCCUCCAGGCGGCAGUCACUGGCCUGAACUCCCUUCUUCAGGAGGGAGGUUCUCCCUGGAAAAGCUGAUCUGCAUUUCUGCUGGGAUCGAUGCUGAGGAGACUGAAUACAUUGGGGGAUCCCAGGGGCCAGCACUGUGGUAAAUUCAGGAGGCUUCGUGGAUCUGAGAGGCAAAGAGAGGGCCCGAAGGCUGCUCCAGGACUACAAGACAGGGAGCCUUUCCUUCCCCAGUCUUCAUCAGCUUUAGCCAAAGCAGGACAGAUGGCUGUGGUGACAGAACAGAGUUGUCCUCUUCUCUCUAGAGCUUGCAGCUCUACCUAAGGUCAGUCUUGCUCUUUUCAUCUCGCUAGUCCUUUAAGGGAAGGCCCUGUGUUUGAGAAAGUCUCUGAAUGCUACCAGGGGAGGAAAAAGCCUUGAAGAAGACAUCCAUGGCCCAGAGAUUCCCAUGGCUUCAGAAGUACCUACAGAGUCCACUUUCAACUACUCAAAACCCAGAGGUGGUGGUGGCAGGCAGGAAAAGUCAAGUAGCAAGUUUGCCCUUGGUUCAGAC